UACGAAGGGGGCUAGCGUUGUUCGGAAUCACUGGGCGUAAAGCGCACGUAGGCGGAUUGUUAAGUCGGGGGUGAAAUCCUGAGGCUCAACCUCAGAACUGCCUCCGAUACUGGCAAUCUCGAGUCCGGAAGAGGUUGGUGGAACAGCUAGUGUAGAGGUGAAAUUCGUAGAUAUUAGCUAGAACACCAGUGGCGAAGGCGGCCAACUGGACCGGCACUGACGCUGAGGUGCGAAAGCGUGGGGAGCAAGCAGG
rnacentral:rRNA from 1 species